CCAUGACAAAGUUCCUCUGACCAAAGUACCAGAGGUUAACAUUGCUGACACUCUAGCACCUCAUCAGAAAAAUGAGGUCCGAGAGUUUGUUGCUAGAAAUCGGUAUGUGUUUGCUCCAGUACCAGGAAAGACUCCUGUUAUUAAACAUGACAUAAUUACGGAACCUGGAAAAAGGGUUAACUUAAAACCCUACCGAAUCCCAGAGGCCAGAAAAGAAGCCAUUAAAGCAGAGGUCCGAAAGAUGCUUGAGCUAGGGGUUAUCGCGGAAUCACAAAGUGAAUGGAGUAAUCUUAU